rnacentral:rRNA from 1 species
UACGUAGGUGGCAAGCGUUAUCCGGAAUUAUUGGGCGUAAAGCGCGCGUAGGCGGUUUUUUAAGUCUGAUGUGAAAGCCCACGGCUCAACCGUGGAGGGUCAUUGGAAACUGGAAAACUUGAGUGCAGAAGAGGAAAGUGGAAUUCCAUGUGUAGCGGUGAAAUGCGCAGAGAUAUGGAGGAACACCAGUGGCGAAGGCGACUUUCUGNGUCUGUAACUGACGCUGAUGUGCGAAAGCGUGGGGAUCAAACAGGAUUAGAUAC